rnacentral:rRNA from 1 species
GGCACCUACGGGACGCAGCAGUAGGGAAUCUUCGGCAAUGGACGAAAGUCUGACCGAGCAACGCCGCGUGAGUGAAGAAGGUUUUCGGAUCGUAAAACUCUGUUGGUAGAGAAGAACGUUGGUGAGAGUGGAAAGCUCAUCAAGUGACGGUAACUACCCAGAAAGGGACGGCUAACUACGUGCCAGCAGCCGCGGUAAUACGUAGGUCCCGAGCGCUGUCCGGAUUUAUUGGGCGUAAAGCGAGCGCAGGUGGUUUCUUAAGUCUGGUGUAAAAGGCAGUGGCUCAACCGUUGUGUGCCUUGGAA